rnacentral:lncRNA from 1 species
CUCAGUCCCAAGAGCACUUGCGGUUGAGGAUCUUCUGCCUAGGGAAUGUGUUGCCCACAGUGGUCUGGGACUUCCCAUGUCAAUCAACAAUCAAGGCAAUCCCUUAAACACAUGUCCACUGACCUGCUCUGAGACUUUCUUCAGCUGAGAUUCUUGUCUCAGAUGAUUCUAGGUUGUCACAAGUUGGCAUGACACUGGGCAUGGCAGUACGUAUCUAUCAUUCCAACCCCAGGAAAACCGAGGUGGGAAGAUUUUGAGUAGCUGCCAGUCUGGACUAUAUACUGAGACUUUGGCUCAAAGAAAACUGUUGGGGAGGGAAACUAGAAGUAUAUAGUUCAGAUGCUCAGUGUGAAUAGGCCCCAGGUUCAUCUGCUGCACUGUAAAUGGAGAAGAAAAAAAUUCGAUAAAAUGAUACAUGUGGUAUUUUUGUGGAGUUUCUUAUAUUAAUUUUAAUCUAUGUUGUCUAUGAGUGUUUGCCAUCAUGUGUGUAUGUGCACGCUGUGCAUGUCUGAUGCCUGAGGAAGCCAAGAAGAGGACAUCAGACCCCUAAAAACAAGAGUUCAUAGGACACUGAGCCACAUUUAUCUACAGUCUCUUCGUGGCUGUCUCAUGUAACCAUUCAGACUCCGUAUGUAGUGAAGAUGACCUGAAACUCCCGAUCCUCUGUGUGCUGGGACUGCAUGUUUCCACUGGUGCGGGGGACUCUUCCGUGUGUUCUGAUUCUGCCCUAACUGGACGAUGUUUUAUGUGUCAUACCGGUGUAGGUAGGGCUCACACACAGCCUUUACCACUGAGCCACACUGCCACCCCUUCAGAUUUUAAAGCCAAGGAUACGGUAUUUUCCUGGCAGUGAGUGGCCUAAGGACCCUAGUGUGCUGCUGAACGCUUGCUGAGAUUUCCCAGCUUCUGUCUUAUCACAAUGGCAAUCAAUUCUUUUCGCACUGAAAUUACAUAGCAUGCCACUAGUGAGCACCAACCGGCCUCUUCGUAAACCGUUAUCUUUCUAUGCCAUGGGGCAGCACGUCAGGUUGCUCAGCAUAGUGGAAAAGCCCUGAUGCCCUCUGAGGGCACGGCGUGAGGCGGGCAUGCAAGGGAGGUUGUUUUCGGGUAGGAUCUGUCUGGCACCCGUCAUUUCUAUUCCGGGCUUCGAUAAGGAAAGGGUCGUGACAAGGUCCACGCACACCCAUUCUUCAGCCAUGCCGCUGUCUUGCACCUUGUCUUGAGAGGGAGGUUGACGCAGGAUGUCUAAAGUCCAAUGCUCACCCAACGUUUCUUCUGUCACCUGGACCCUGUUCUUAGCUACACUGCUCGGGGGUGUGUCCCCUGGCUGGGAGAACCCAAGUCCAAAACAAUAAGUAGUGAAUGAGAGGAAGAGGCAAGGGCGGGAGUUUGUGCCUGGUCAUCAUUUCAGCCGCUGUCCACGCUGCUCACCCGCGGCUCCAAAGCAGGGAGCCUAUGGUCCACACCCAGUGUGGACGUCCCAGAUGCAUGCAUGACCAGCUUGCUCUGUGCUGCCUGCACCAAGAACAGAAUUUGAUCUUGUCUAUCACAGGGUACAGUGGGCAAGCAGGGUGCGCUCCGCAGAGUCACGGGCCCGCAGCAUGAGAGCCAGGUCAUUACAGUUCUCAGCAACUUUGUGUGGCUUCUGAUGACUAAGCAUUGCCUCUUUGAUUUAGAAAAGCAUCCUUCUAGCUGCCCCUACCCCCACAACAGCAUCACUUUUUAACUUGUGGUUAAAAAGAAUACAUAAGGGCUAGAUUUUAUUUUAUUUACCUUUUAACAAUUCAAGCAUUUGUGUGUGGUGUAUGUGCGCGUGUGUAUACAGGUUUGUGGAGACCAGAAGACAACCUCGGAAACACUCCCUACAUCUUUUGAGAUAAAGCAUCCCAUUGGCCUGGCACUCUCACUUUAGGCUAGACUGGCUGGCUAGCGAGCUCCAGCAAUCCCGUCUCUGCCUCAGUGUUUUCAUCCGCCCUGAGGAUCGAACCCAGAGACUCAUACUCAAUGACUUAAUGACUGAGUGGCCCCUCUAGCCCUUCCAUCUUUUUAUGGCUGUUUGUGGGGUGAGAACCCAGGACUGUCUUGGAUAUGGAUAUAACUGCUGUUCUUGUGUUCCUGAGCCUGGACUCGGGAUCUAUCCCAGCCUGGUCUGGAAUUCACAUAACUCUCCUGCCCCAGCUUCUUCAACAUUGGGAUUACAGGUGUGUAUCACCUCAGCCAUUUUAAACACUUUAUAC